rnacentral:tRNA from 2 species
GCGCCCAUAGCUCAACAGGAUAGAGCACUGGAUUUCUAAUCCAGGGGUUGGGAGUUCGAGCCUCUCUGGGCGCGCCA